AUCCUCAAAUGGCACAACUUGUAGAUAUUGCAAAGUUAAUAACUUUACGAGUUGAUCAAUUCAUAAGUUGUAUGCGGCCACCUUUAAAUCCUUCAAUUCUGGAAGCAAGAGCAGCUUCCUUGACUCUAACAGUUACACACCUUGCCAUUAUGACUCAAUAUGAGUGCCGCAGCGAUAAUUUACCAGCAGAAUGGAUUUCCAAAUUGUUGAAUAACAUUCAGAAACAUAUUGAUUUAUUAAAUUGUGAAACUGAGAACUUCUUUCAUUCAAAGCAAAGCAUCCAAAUUCUGAAUACUCCAAUAAGUAUUUAAAAGUAUUCACUGCAUAAACUUACUGCAACAAAAGUAAUAAAAGAACUCCUUAUUCAAUA